CCUACGGGAGGCAGCAGUCGAGAAUCAUUCACAAUGGGGGAAACCCUGAUGGUGCGACGCCGCGUGGGGGAAUGAAGGUCUUCGGAUUGUAAACCCCUGUCAUGUGGGAGCAAAUUAAAAAGAUAGUACCACAAGAGGAAGAGACGGCUAACUCUGUGCCAGCAGCCGCGGGAAUACAGAGGUCUCAAGCGUUGUUCGGAAUCACUGGGCGUAAAGCGUGCGUAGGCUGUUUCGUAAGUCGUGUGUGAAAGGCGCGGGCUCAACCCGCGGACGGCACAUGAUACUGCGAGACUAGAGUAAUGGAGGGGGAACCGGAAUUCUCGGUGUAGCAGUGAAAUGCGUAGAGAUCGAGAGGAACACUCGUGGCGAAGGCGGGUUCCUGGACAUUAACUGACGCUGAGGCACGAAGGCCAGGGGAGCGAAAGGGAUUAGAUACCCGAGUAGUC
rnacentral:rRNA from 1 species